rnacentral:sRNA from 1 species
UUUAAAGUUAAUGAAUAAUACUUUUAUAAUACAUGUACCACAGUAUGUAGUUUUUUUUAAACAAAUAAAAUGCACUCAUUUUCUAGACAGUAAUUACUUAUUUAAAUAAAACUCACAUUUGAUAAUCAAGAAUUCUCAAAAAAAAAUAAAAAAAAUGUAAAACUAUAUACAUGUAUACACAAGUGUUUAAAAAGUAAAAAAAAUUUACAAUGUAAAUAAUUAAUGUAUUGAUACUUCUUUGAAACCAAAUACAGGGUAUGACUUUAUCUAAAUAACAUAGAUAGUACUCCGAAUCUAGUCGACUCAUAACUUUACUUAUGUAGUGUCUAUAAACUUUAUUUAACAGAUGCUAUGACAAAUCUUAAUAUACACAUUUUGAUUCUGUAUAUACGUAUAUUUAACUAAUAUCUUUAUACAGUCUGGCUGUGAUACACAAAUUGUAAUCUCUUUUGCAAAAAAGAAAAAAAAGGCUUUUUACAAGCUGUUUUACACCAUCUUCUCAAGCAUGUUUAUACAAUGAAUGAUUCUGUCUUUGUGAUCCAUGUUAUAAUUGUUGGAGAAUUACAUUCCAUGUACAUGUGUUAUUUUUAAUAAAUUAUAUAAAUUGAUUUAUGUACAUCUCCAUUUUUACUAAAUCAAUUAAUUUGAAUGUGUAUCAACUAUUUAAAACUAAUCCUUCCUAUAAAAUACUAAUAUGAAUUCAGUACAAGGUCUGAUCAUGUUGCAAUAAAUGAUUUAACUUUAAAUGUGAAAUCUAUUACAAACAUGUUGUAUUUGUAUUAGCUAUGUAAUGUAAUAUGGCGUGUAUAAUAAGAUUUUGAUCAAAUAUAUGUUAAACAUUUUCUGCUAAAAAUAAAUCUUUCGUUUCUGUU